GACGAACGCUGGCGGCGUGCCUAAUGCAUGCAAGUCGAACGGUCCGGCUUCGGUCGGGCCGUGGCGCACGGCUGAGUAGCACGUGGGAACCUGCCCGCCGGUGGGGGAUAUCGCCGCGAAAGCGGUGCCAAUCCCGCAUACGGUCUCCGGACGAAAGCGCGCAAGCGCGCCGGCGGAGGGGCCUGCGGCCCAUCAGGUCGUUGGUAGGGUAACGGCCUACCAAGCCGAUGACGGGUUGCUGGUCUGUGAGGACGACCAGCCAGACUGGGACUGAGAC
rnacentral:rRNA from 1 species